rnacentral:rRNA from 1 species
GUGAACGAGGUGUGGGCAGUGUAGAAGCCGUCUGUGCCGGAGCAAACGCGAUAAGUUCACCGCCUGGGGAGUACGGUCGCAAGGCUAAAACCCAAAGGAAUUGACGGGGGCCCGCACAAGCAGCGGAGCGUGUGGUUUAAUUCGAUGCAACGCGAAGAACCUUACCUGGGCUUGACAUGUACGUAGUAGUGAAGGGAAACCGGAACGAGCCUUCGGGCAGCGUAGACAGGUGCUGCAUGGCUGUCGUCAGCUCGUGUCGUGAGAUGUUGGGUUAAGUCCCGCAACGAGCGCAACCCGUGUUGCUAGUUACAAGUGUCUAGCGAGACUGCCGGUAACAAGCCGGAGGAAGGUGCGGAUGAUGUCAAGUCAGCAUGGCCUAUAUGUCCAGGGCUACACACACGCUACAAUGGCCGGUACAAAGAGAAGCGAAAGGGAGACCUGAAGCGAAUCUCAUCAAAGCCAGUCAUAGUUCGGAUUGCAGGCUGCAACUCGCCUGCAUGAAGUCGGAGUUGCUAGUAACCGCAGGUCAGCAAUACUGCGGUG